rnacentral:piRNA from 1 species
UGAAUACUGAUGGGAGAAUUUAACAGAGC